rnacentral:rRNA from 1 species
UACGAAGGGGGCUAGCGUUGCUCGGAAUUACUGGGCGUAAAGCGCACGUAGGCGGAUUGUUAAGUCGGGGGUGAAAUCCUGGAGCUCAACUCCAGAACUGCCUUUGAUACUGAGGAUCUUGAGUUCGGGAGAGGCGAGUGGAACUGCGAGUGUAGAGGUGAAAUUCGUAGAUAUUCGCAAGAACACCAGUGGCGAAGGCGGCUCACUGGCCCGAUACUGACGCUGAGGCACGAAAGCGUGGGGAGCAAACAGGGA